GGUAUACAUCUAAAAAAACAAAAGUAUAUAUGGUUAAAUAAUAGAAAUACAACAAAACAUAUGUUACCUUUCUAGUUUUUACUUCAAAUAUAUUCUAAGUUUACCAAUAUUACAAGUCCUUGCAUAUUAUGAUACAAUAAAAUCUAAAGUUUUAAAACUACCAAAUAAUUUCAAUAAUUGCAUGGAAACCAUCCACACAAUGCCAAAGUUCCAUCUUCCAAUAAGGUAAUAAUUGAAGAUUAGUGUGUUACUUGUGGAGACAUCCUGCUCAAAGGAAAGAAAAUUAUGUCAACAUUUGUGUGCAGUUAGAC
rnacentral:lncRNA from 1 species